rnacentral:lncRNA from 1 species
UGUUCAUCUUUUCUUCAUACUUGAUUCUUCUUUUGAUUCACUAAUCUCUAAACAAUCUAGCGGAAGUAGAUCCUCAUCAUCAUUAUAAGGCUGAAACUCAAAGUCUUUAAUUAUAUGAUUUCUAAUAAAUUUAUGAAUGGCCAUUGAAGCCACCACAAUUUGAAUUUAUUUAUAAUAAAAAAAUUAGGAAUUAUACUCAAUAUUUUUUAUUUACUUUUCCAACAUUCAAAUGUCCUCUCAAUAGUACAUCUU